UAGAUACUCUCUCAACGAACACACCUCCAAAAUCGGAGGCGUAUUCGUAAAAUCGGAGGCGAGUUCGAAAUUGCGUGUAUAUCGAUGCCAAAAGUGUUGCAUAUUGGUAAGGCGUCAUUUUUACAAUUUUUUGUCAGAGGCCAUUUCGUCGGAAUUUUAUGUGCAAAUACACUCCAUUGUUCGAGGCAGGUUGUGCAGAUGGCGCUGUUAACUAAUACACUUAUACAUGAUGUAUUUAAGCAAUGUACAAUACGUCUCCAUACAUGUUUUGCGCUAACACACCACUGAGAUGUGGCAACGCUGUAGUGGAGGUCUAUCGGCUAUGUAUUGCAGAACAUGGAAUAGAAUUUCGAUAGCGCAUAUAUUUUUAUAAUGCAUAAAACAAUUGAUUUCAGUUGUCUAGCGAAGGCUGUGCGUGUUUUUUAGUUUUGCCCAUAGAGAUCAACAUGUUAAUUUGGGAUCCCCAUGUUACCCUAACAUCUAGAAAUACUAGCAAAUUGAAACUGCGCGCACUGAUAGAUACAAUAACUAACUACAAUCACGCACAUUUUCAAUAAAAACAAAUAUUGAAUUGUUAUUAAAUUAUUAAGUGAACAGACCAGUUGACAGAACGUGAAAUCUCUGCAUUUGUUUGAAAGUUUUUAUUGAAAAUGCGUGUGAUAGUUAUUGUAUCUAUCAGUGUGCGCAAUUUGAGUGUGCUAGCUUUUCUAUAAUGUAGGAUAACAUAGUGUUUCCAAAUUAAUAUGUAAAUCCAUAUGGAUAGAACUUAAAACGCACGGUAUAAUCUCAAGACCUAAAACUAAUUGUUGUGAGAUAUCAACUUCUACAUAUUUACGGAUGUGUACUCAAGAAAUAAAUUUCAGUUCUAUUUUUCGUAUCAAUGUUUCCUAUUGAGCUAGGAUAAGUCGACUGAGGCAGCAGCCAUUGCAAAGGGAAUUGUGCACAAUCCUAAGAUAAUGGGAGUACGGGACGGAGUUCUUCUAGUCGAGAAACUGCGACAUGUACAUAAUUUAUUUCAUAACGCCUUCAUUACUAAGUCAGAUUUAGACAUUUAGGGUAAAUAGGUCAGUCAAGUAAAUAAAAAACAAACUAUUAUAUAAUGAAUUAUGUAAAGGAUACAUUGUAAAUAGGUACAUUUGUUUUAUAAAAUCUUAAUAAAAUAAAUUGUUUUUUUCUGGUAAUUUAUAGGCGUAAUCAUAAAACUAAAACAGUA